GCGCACUUGCCGCGUUGAGGUCGGGUUGGAGGAAAUAGUCAGCCUGCGGUGUGUGUCUGAAGUGAAGGACGCGUCAGCAAUAAUGAGGCCCUAACCCCUGCCGGCCGGGCGGCCUCCCCAGCGCCCUCCCCGAAACUGUUUCGUUAGCUGAGUGUUUUUUUUUUUUUUAAUAUUUAUUUGGCUGCACCGGGUUUUAGCUGCGGCGCGCGGGAUCUUCCUUGCUGCAUGCGGGAUCUUUAGUUGCGGCAUGCGGGAUCUUUAGUUGCGGCAUGUGAGAAUCUACUUCCCUGACCAGGGAUCAAACCCCGGCGCCCUGCAUUGGGAGUGGGGAGUCUUAAGACACUGGACCACCAGGGAGGUACCAGCUGAGUGUUUUUUAAACUGCAGUUGUCAAGAUCAGUUUAGUGGGUCGUGGCUAACACUUUUCUGUUUUUAAGUAACGUGCAGUGCAGAGUUGGGGCAUACCCUGCUCGCCCCUCGGAUCCACCAAGUUCUAACCCAAGUUCAUGGGGUCCUUCCCUGUCCUAUCAUUAGGACGGAGUGCAGCCCAGUUUUGCGUAGGGUCAGUCCAGCCAGACCCAAGGGCUAGCCAGUUACAGGCACGGGGCCCUGGCAGACAGGCGGGAAGGGAGUUAAAGGCCCUGGUGAGCUGAGCUCAGAACACGUGCGGGCAGUUGUGGAGGGCAGACAUUGAAAGAACUGCAUACGUGUGUGCACAAAUACACGCUCUGAGGAGGGCCGGGAGAGAAAGGAACACAGGGGACCUACUCUAGCCAGGGAAGAGCUGAGCUGGGGCAGUUUCCCUCAGCUAGGAAGGCUGAGAAGGUUUUGACCUGCUCACCUUCCUUGCCUGGAAAUUGUACCUCUCUCCACUUUCACCUGAGGUGAAGCAGCAGGCCAUCCAUCCUGAGGAACCAGCUGGAGGGAGCCAAGAUAAGUCCAAAGUGAAAUGUUUUUGGAGAGCCCACACAGGCAUGAAGAAGCCACGCAGAGCCUGGAGUGUGGUGCUGGAGAGGGUAGAGAGGUCAGCCAAAGCUGCGCCUUGCAGAACGUGGCCCACCUCUUCACGAGAGAGGAUGCUGCUGCUCCGGAACCGCACAAACUGGCCCGGGGAGAGAAGCCCCAGACAUGUAGUGAUUCGGCAUCUCCUUCAUUCACAGAUAUUUGCUGUGCCCUGCCGGACUCAGCACUGGGCUGGGGGCAUGGAUCUGAAGCCCACAGAACUCUGCCUUCAAGAGCUCAGUGUUGGUAGGCAGGGGUGGGGUUGUGUCACAGGAAAGUGAGGUGAUGAGGAUUGCAAGACCCUGAGAGUUUGCUCUGCUGACCCCUUCAGUCCCCCACUCCCACCCUGCCCCUCACACUAGACUGUGUGUGGUUACCCAGACACACCACCACAUGCUCAUAUACUUGCUGUUCUCACUUCAAUACUGUACCUGCAAUACUUUUCCUUCUCUUUGCCUAUUAAUCCUUCAAGCCUCAGCUAAAAUGUUACCUUCAC